rnacentral:rRNA from 1 species
GACGUAGGGGGCCAGCGUUGCUCGGAAUUACCGGGCGUAAAGGGUUCGUAGGCGGUGCGGUAAGUCGGAAGUGAAAUCUCUGGGCUUAACUCAGAGGCUGCUUUCGAAACUGCCGUGCUAGAGUGCGGGAGAGGCGAGUGGAAUUGCAGGUGUAGCGGUGAAAUGCGUAGAUAUCUGCAGGAACACCCGUGGCGAAGGCGGCUCGCUGGACCGCAACUGACGCUGAGGAACGAAAGCUAGGGGAGCAAACAGG